rnacentral:rRNA from 1 species
UACGUAGGGGGCUAGCGUUGUCCGGAAUCAUUGGGCGUAAAGCGCGUGUAGGCGGCCCGGUAAGUCCGCUGUGAAAGUCGGGGGCUCAACCCUCGGAUGCCGGUGGAUACUGUCGGGCUAGAGUACGGAAGAGGCGAGUGGGAUUCCUGGUGUAGCGGUGAAAUGCGCAGAUAUCAGGAGGAACACCAAUUGCGAAGGCAGCUCGCUGGGACGUCACUGACGCUGAGACGCGAAAGCGUGGGGAGCAAACAGG